rnacentral:rRNA from 1 species
GGCCUAUCAGCUUGUUGGUGAGGUAAUGGCUCACCAAGGCGACGACGGGUAGCCGGCCUGAGAGGGUGAUCGGCCACAUUGGGACUGAGAUACGGCCCAGACUCCUACCGGGAGGCAGCAGUGGGGAAUAUUGCACAAUGGGCGGAAGCCCUGAUGCAGCGACCGCCGCGUGAGGGAUGACGGCCUUCCGGGUUGUAAACCUCUUUCAGCAGGGACGAAGCGUAAGUGACGGUACCUGCAGAAGAAGCACCGGCUAACUACGUGCCAGCAGCCGCGGUAGUACGUAGGGUGCGAGCGUUGUCCGGAAUUACUGGGCGUAAAGAGCUCGUAGGCGGUUUGUCACGUCGUCUGUGAAAUCCUAGGGCUUAACCCUGGACGUGCAGGCGAUACGGGCUGACCUGAGUACUACAGGGGAGACUGGAAUUUCUGGUGUAGCGGUGGAAUGCACAGAUAUCAGGAAGAACACCGAUGGCGAAGGCAGGUCUCUGGGUAGUAACUGACGCUGAGGAGCGAAAGCAUGGGUAGCGAACAGGAUUAGAUACCCUGGUAGUCCAUGCCGUAAACGGUGGGCGCUAGGUGUGGGGUUCCUUCCACGGGCUCCGCGCCGUAGCUAACGCAUUAAGCGCCCCGCCUGGGGAGUACGG